GUCUCGCUUCGGCAGCACAUAUACUAAAAUUGGAACGAUACAGAGAAGAUUAGCAUGGCCCCUGCACAAGGAAUGAUACCAAACUUAAGGACCUGGAUCUCAGAGAGCAUUUUAUU
rnacentral:snRNA from 1 species